UGGGGAAUAUUGCACAAUGGGGGAAACCCUGAUGCAGCGACGCCGCGUGAGCGAUGAAGUAUUUCGGUAUGUAAAGCUCUAUCAGCAGGGAAGAAAAUGACGGUACCUGACUAAGAAGCCCCGGCUAACUACGUGCCAGCAGCCGCGGUAAUACGUAGGGGGCAAGCGUUAUCCGGAUUUACUGGGUGUAAAGGGAGCGUAGACGGCAUGGCAAGCCAGAUGUGAAAGCCCGGGGCUCAACCCCGGGACUGCAUUUGGAACUGUCAGGCUAGAGUGUCGGAGAGGAAAGCGGAAUUCCUAGUGUAGCGGUGAAAUGCGUAGUUAUUAGGAGGAACACCAGUGGCGAAGGCGGCUUUCUGGACGAUGACUGACGUUGAGGCUCGAAAGCGUGGGGAGCAAACAGG
rnacentral:rRNA from 1 species